rnacentral:rRNA from 1 species
CAGCCGCCGCGGUAAUACGAAGGGUGCAAGCGUUACUCGGAAUUACUGGGCGUAAAGCGUGCGUAGGUGGUGGUUUAAGUCCGUUGUGAAAGCCCUGGGCUCAACCUGGGAAUUGCAGUGGAUACUGGGUCACUAGAGUGUGGUAGAGGAUAGUGGAAUUUCCGGUGUAGCAGUGAAAUGCGUAGAGAUCGGAAGGAACAUCUGUGGCGAAGGCGACUAUCUGGGCCAACACUGACACUGAGGCACGAAAGCGUGGGGAGCAAACAGGAUUAGAUACCCGGGUAGUCCCUGUCUCUUAUAC